rnacentral:lncRNA from 1 species
CUAUUAUUUUUUAAUUAUUGAUUGUAAGCCUAUUGUAUAACCACAUAAUGUUAUUUUCUACUUGAAAUGAUCUCACAUAUCCAGUGACCAUGGGGGAGAAAUGAAUUAAACAGCACAAAACAUAGGUUACCUAUUAGGGGAUGAUAUUUAAAACUGGAGGAACAUCCCAUUUACAGCUAAUCCGGCAAAGAAUUAAUGGUGCAUACAUGGAGUAUAUCCCUGGAAGGAUGGUCAAAGUGAUUAAACAGAUGUACGACGUAAAUUACAAUUCACCAUGAAGGGAGUAAAUAAGUAAGAAAGAUUCUUUCAUCAUCAGUGAACAUAAGGGACCAAAUGAUCUCUA